CAAAGUUAAUUCAUUGAUUUGAGGAAACCAUAAAACCAAAAUUCCUCUUUUCCCACUUCCCGUUUCUCACCUGCACAUUUUCAGGUGGAGGAAUUAUAUCUUGAAUUCUGGUGCACAUCAAACAUCUCUAUUGCGAUGAAUGAAAAUUGAGGGGCAUGUUUAAAGCUAGAGCUAGUGGUAAUCUUUAUCUGGAGGAUCCAUUGUCUCCUUGCUUGUUCAUUUUGGUAGCUGUCGGCCAAUAUGUCUAUAGAGUUUUGUUACUUCAAUCAUUGUCAAGUCGUUGUGACCCGAGCAAGGGACACUAGAUGCCAGAGUUACUCGAUGUCGAACUGCUCGUGAAAAUUAAUGGCCAACCGUGUAAGAUUGCUUCAAUCAGGCAUGUCAUUUUUAAAAUCUGGUCAAAUCUGAGCUUGUUGGUGGAACUGGGGUCACAUUUUGCUAGCUGCUAAAAGACAGAGAGUAGCUGAGGUCCUAACCACACUCACUCAGCAAGGUAAAAAGUUACUUUCAGAGUGGAAAAUUUUGUCUGAUUGGUGGAGGGAAUAGCUACACUCGCAAGUAAUUUGUGUACUUGCUUUGAAAGCCAGUCUUCCACUCAAUAAAGAGCUUUUUCUCUCAUUCAUGUAAUACCAUAAUCUUUACUGGAGAAAAGAGAAGUUGAAAGAAAAAUGCUGCUUCCCCACACUUGAGGCUCUUGUCUGAUUGAGUGGACUGCUCAGUCAACAUUGUCAUUAGAAAGAUUUUGACCAUCUCUCUCCCACUUUUUCUCUCUCGUCUGUGAGUGUGUUUGAGAUUUGGGUAUGUUAGAUAUGUAGGAAAGUACAGAUUUUCAGUAUGUUUUCCUGUCCAAUUGUAUCAGAAACUGCAGAGUUAGUUCAGUCAUUUCUGCAAUUGUACUUGUAGUUGUAGUGUACAUCAUGUGGAUAUUUACAUACGUUCUUGUCCUCUGGUGUGCUACUCAAUAAUAUUGUUUCCUUUGCCUUU